AUGAUUUACACGAUAAAUAACAUUUUACACGUUUUCAACCUAAAACUCUUGGAUUGUGGAACUAUUACAGAAAACACAUUUAGUUUAGAAUACCAUACACUUUGCAUUCUGAUAUUUUUUAGAAAACAAAUAUAUUCCAUAAUUUCUGUUACAGUAAGUUUCUCGAUUGGAACUUUUGCUAAUUGA